rnacentral:rRNA from 1 species
UAGGGAAUCUUCGGCAAUGGACGAAAGUCUGACCGAGCAACGCCGCGUGAGUGAAGAAGGUUUUCGGAUCGUAAAACUCUGUUGUUAGAGAAGAACAAGGACGUUAGUAACUGAACGUCCCCUGACGGUAUCUAACCAGAAAGCCACGGCUAACUACGUGCCAGCAGCCGCGGUAAUACGUAGGUGGCAAGCGUUGUCCGGAUUUAUUGGGCGUAAAGCGAGCGCAGGCGGUUUCUUAAGUCUGAUGUGAAAGCCCCCGGCUCAACCGGGGAGGGUCAUUGGAAACUGGGAGACUUGAGUGCAGAAGAGGAGAGUGGAAUUCCAUGUGUAGCGAUGAAAUGCGUAGAUAUAUGGAGGAACACCAGUGGCGGAGGCGGCUCUCUGGUCUGUAACUGACGCUGAGGCUCGAAAGCGUGGGGAGCAAACAGG